rnacentral:lncRNA from 1 species
GUGAAUACAGCUGCCUUUCUUACCCAGUGUGUGUGUGUGUGUGUGUGUGUGAGAGAGAGAGAGAGAGACACAGACAGACAGACACACACACACAUGUAUGAUGCAUGUGUUGAGGUAAGAGGACAGGACAGCCUUGGGUGUCAGGUCUCUCUCCCUUGUUGGCGUGUAUAUAACAGUCCUCACUGCCCCAUAAGCUUGUGGAAAUUCUUCCGUCUGCCUCACAUCUUGCUGAAGGAGUGCGGGGAUUACAGAGUCAGGCAACCGUGGCUAACUUUCCACGAUGUCUGGACUCGGCUCCCUUCCGCUCGCUCGCCAAGCACGUUACAGAUUAAUCCUCUCACUAACUGCACUGCGCUUCAUUCGAGACAGGG